rnacentral:rRNA from 1 species
AAUCAACGCUGGCGGCGUGCCUAACACAUGCAAGUUGAGCGCUUGAGGGGGGCAACCCCCAAGAGAGCAGCGAACGGGUGAGUAACGCGUGGGUGAUCUUCCUUCGAGUGGGGAACAACAUCGGGAAACUGGUGCUAAUUCCGCAUAAUAUCCCGGGGCUACGAGCCUCAGGAUCAAAGCCGGGGACCGCAAGGCCUGGCGCUUGAAGAUGAGCCCGCGUCCGAUUAGCUAGUUGGCGGGGUAAUGGCCCACCAAGGCUUCGAUCGGUAGCCGGCCUGAGAGGGCGGACGGCCACACUGGAACUGAGACACGGUCCAGACUCCUACGGGAGGCAGCAGUGGGGAAUUUUUCGCAAUGGGCGCAAGCCUGACGAAGCAACGCCGCGUGGAGGAUGAAGGUCUUCGGAUUGUAAACUCCUGUCGACCGGGACGAAUGCACUCGACCUAAUACGUCGGAAUGUUGACGGUACCGGUGGAGGAAGCCACGGCUAACUCUGUGCCAGCAGCC